rnacentral:misc_RNA from 1 species
GUUUUCAAUUAAAACCCUUCGUAAAGAAGGUUCCAUCAAUUCACAUAAAAACACAAACGAGUAUAAAACAUAAUGCUGGCAGCCCAGAAGGAAAAGAUCCCUCAUAAGGCGGACUGCCAAAAUACAGGAAACAUUCACAAAUUGGUGGAAAUGAUAUUUCUCUGAAGGGAGAACCCUAGCAGAAGAAAAAUCAAUUAAUUCAUAAUGAUCCAACCGCAGGUUCACCUACGGUUA